rnacentral:rRNA from 1 species
GAUGAACGCUGGCGGCGUGCCUAAUACAUGCAAGUCGAGCGAACGGACGAGAAGCUUGCUUUUCUGAUGUUAGCGGAGGACGGGUGAGUAACACGUGGAUAACCUACCUAUAAGACUGGGAAAACUUCGGGACACCGGAGCUAAUACCGGAUAAUCUUUUGCUCCGCAUGGUUCAAAGGAGAAAGGCGGUCUUGCUGUCACUUAUCGAUGCAUCCGGGCUGCAUUGGCGAGUUGGUAAGGUAACGGCUUACCAAGGCAACGAUGCAUAGCCGACCUGUGAGGGGGAUCGGGCACACUGGAGCUGAGAGACGGUCCAGACACCGACGGGAGGCAGCAGUAGGGAAGCUAGCGAGAUGGGCGAAAGCCUGACGGAGGAACGGAGCGUGAGUGAUGAAGGGCUGCGUGUCGUAAAACGCUGUUAGUAGGGAAGAACAUAUGUGUAAGUAACGGAGCACAUCUGGAGGGUACCUAAACAGAAAGCCACGGCUAACUACUG